CGGGGUUUCACCUUGUUGGUCAAGCUGGUCUGAAACUCCUGACCUCAGGUGAUCCACCUACCUCGGCCUCCCAAAGUGCUGGGAUUACAGGUGUGAGCCACCGCGCCCAGCCUAUUUUCUUUAUAUUAAAAUAUUUUUGGCUGGGCAUGGUGGCUCAAGCCUGUAAUCCCAGCACUUUGGGAGGCCGAGAUGUGUGGACCACGAGGGCAGGAGUUUGAGACCAGCCUGGCCAACAUGGUGAAACCCCCGUCUCUACUAAAAAUACAAAAAUUAGCUGGGCGUGGUGGCGGGCACCUGUAAUCCCAGCUACUCAGGAGACUAAGGCAGGAGAAUUGCUUUAACCUGGGAGGCAGAGGUUUCGGUAAGACAAGACUGCACCAUUGCAUGCCAGUCUGGGUGACAGAGAGAGACUCCAUCUAAAAAAAAAAAAAAAAAAUAGCAUGCCACCACCCAUGGUUAAAUUUUUUUUUCACA
rnacentral:lncRNA from 1 species